rnacentral:rRNA from 1 species
UAAGCAUAUCAAUAAGCGGAGGAAAAGAAACCAACAGGGAUUGCCCUAGUAACGGCGAGUGAAGCGGCAACAGCUCAAAUUUGAAAUCUGGCGCAAGCCCGAGUUGUAAUUUGUAGAGGAUGCUUCUGGGUAGCGGCCGGUCUAAGUUCCUUGGAACAGGACGUCAUAGAGGGUGAGAACCCCGUAUGUGAUUGGCCCGCACCCUCCACGUAGCUCCUUCGACGAGUCGAGUUGUUUGGGAAUGCAGCUCUAAAUGGGAGGUAAAUUUCUUCUAAAGCUAAAUACCGGCCGGAGACCGAUAGCGCACAAGUAGAGUGAUCGAAAGAUGAAAAGCACUUUGGAAAGAGAGUUAAACAGCACGUGAAAUUGUUGAAAGGGAAGCGCCCGCAACCAGACUUUGCGGCGGUGUUCCACCGGUCUUCUGACCGGUCUACUCUCCGUCGCGAGGCCAUCAUCGUCUGGGGCCGCCGGAUAAGACUUGAGGAAUGUAGCACCCUUUGGGGUGUGUUAUAGCCUUCUGUGAUGCGGUGAGUCCCGGGCGAGGUCCGCGCUCCGGCAAGGAUGAUGGCGUAAUGGUUGUCGGCGGCCCGUCUUGAAACACGGACCAAGGAGUCUAACAUCUAUGCGAGUGUUCGGGCGUCAAACCCCUACGCGUAAUGAAAGUGAACGGAGGUGGGAGCUUCGGCGCACCAUCGACCGAUCCUGAUGUCCUCGGAUGGAUUUGAGUAAGAGCAUAGCUGUUGGGACCCGAAAGAUGGUGAACUAUGCCUGGAUAGGGUGAAGCCAGAGGAAACUCUGGUGGAGGCUCGCAGCGGUUCUGACGUGCAAAUCGAUCGUCAAAUUUGGGUAUAGGGGCGAAAGACUAAUCGAACCAUCUAGUAGCUGGUUCCUGCCGAAGU